UCUGAGGCUACUUUGCUGUUUUAUUUUUAAAAGAGGAAAAAAUUAGACUUUUUUUCGUUUUUUAAAAUAAAACAGCAAAGUAGCCUCAGU